rnacentral:tRNA from 1 species
GAAGGUAUAGCUCAGUGGUAGAGCAUGUGCUUAGCAUGCAUGAGAUCCUAGGUUCUAUCCCCAGUGCCUCUA